UGGGCGUUAAACUGAUAGCGUACGCUGUUCUGAGUGGUGCUAAGAGAUGCAAUGACGUCACUGUCCACUACAGUAGCGUCAGGGAUCAGUGAAUGACGCCUGGUGUUGAGAACAUACCAGCAACCGGAAGGAGAGUCUGCGAUUGCCUCGCACGUGAGCGCGUGCGCCAGCCAUUGGGUACACCUCAGUACACAAGAGAAGGCUGAAAAAUUCGCAAGAAGUCGCAGUGAGGGAUUAGAAAAAGAUCACUUGUCACCGUCCUACGAAUGAACCCUUCAAUCUCAAUACACUGAUGUCGACGCAAAGAAACUACGAAGAAAUUUAAUCCCUUCUUGUGGACUUUUCCAAAGCUAUUGGCUCAAAUUGAAAAGAUGGUUUAGACAUAAAUCAAUUAAUUAUGGUUUAAAUGGAAAUAUCUUCAAUGUCUUAGUAUGCACUCUGAAAUUAGCUAUUCUGUCAAAAAAAGAAGGGUGUGAUUGAAUCCAUCCCAUCAUACACAAGAGGAUAGCAAUGUGUGUGUAGUCCCACACAUCUUUAUAUGAAUCACCUCAAAGAUUAUCUAUCCUUCUGUGCCUUUUCAAAUCUUCAAUUAAAUGGUAAAGAUGUUGCCUACCUACUAUAUGCUGGUGAUCUUGUAUUGUUAUCACAUUCUACAAAAUGUCAAUAAACUAGUGUUGACAAUCCUUUAAUCUUCGGUGAUGACAGGA